UUUAAUAAGAGACAUAUACUG
rnacentral:piRNA from 1 species